UCAGGAUGAACGCUAGCUACAGGCUUAACACAUGCGAAGUCGAGGGGCAUCAGGGAGAAAGCUUGCUUUCUUUGCUGGCGACCGGCGCACGGGUGAGUAACGCGUAUCCAACCUUCCCCCCAGUAGGGCAUAGCCCGGCGAAAGUCGGAUUAAUACCCUAUGUUUUUCCAAUGAGGACAUCUGAGCUGGAACAAAGAUUUUAUCGCUGGGGGGAUGGGGAUGCGUCCGAUUAGGUUGUUGGCGGGGUAACGGCCCACCAAGCCCGCGAUCGGUAGGGGUUCUGAGAGGAAGGUCCCCCCACACUGGUACUGAGACACGGACCAGACUCCUACGGGAGGCAGCAGUGAGGAAUAUUGGUCAAUGGGCGUAAGCCUGAACCAGCCAAGUAGCGUGCAGGACGACGGCCCUAUGGGUUGUAAACUGCUUUUAUACAGGGAUAAAGUUCACUACGUGUAGUGUUUUGUAGGUACUGUAUGAAUAAGGACCGGCUAAUUCCGUGCCAGCCGCAGC
rnacentral:rRNA from 1 species